UAUGAGGCCAAGUGGGAUUUUUCGAAGGCACUCUGAGCUCACUGAACCUCAGUGAUCGAAAGCCUGAGAGGGGUUCUUUCUGGCAAAGGCAAUGACAUACCCAUCUGUGACCUCAUCCCAAAAAUGAACCUAGUUUCUUAGUCCAUGGCAACCAGGAUGCAUGUGACCUUACCUAUGGUUAGAAAACAGAAAGUUUACUGAGAGCUGGGCCAUGUUAAUUUAGUUAAAAAACACUUAAGAGGAUUAUGAAAGAUUUUAAAACUUGAAUAGAAAUGAUGCAAGAAACUGAAGUCUACUUCAUUAUACUCCACUUGAACUUCUCAGUGCUUUGAGUAUGGCGUUGGGAGUACUGGGAAAUGAAAUGAACCUCCUAACAAGAAGCAGCAAUCCUUCGAUCCGGUAAUACUGAGGCAAGAGAAAGGAAGUGCACUAAGGUUUACCCCAUUCAGGUCAGAACUCUUUAAAAUGUUCUAUGAUUUCAAUUCACCACUUCUGUGUCCAGGUGAGCCUCUCUCACAGGGGCUUCUUGGUGGAGCAGUAAUGGAUCUCUACAGUUCACUUGUCUACGUAGAGAUCGUGUUGUACCUGGCAGUAUUCUCCACUGUCCUUCAGAAACUCCAUAAAUGUGUGACCAAGAACUGAGGAAUAUGUCUACUCAUUGAAGAUUGUGGCCUAAUCAUACAGCUGGUUCUGAGGUGGUCGCGAGGUGGACGUUGGCAGCAGCGGGGGCACCAGGUGACCAUGCACCGAGCGGGCAAGAGAGUGUCGUGGACCAGCGCAGCCAGGCAGCCAGGCAGCCAAUACUUGUGCUGGGCCUAGUCCUAUACACCCUUAAUCCCAGUAUUACACACCCAUGAUCCAGCCACCUCUUGAAGCCCCACCUAUGAGCUCAUGAGGCUUUGGGGGAACACCUAGAUAUGAUCUAUAACAGCUACCAAAAGCAGAAACUCCAAGGGGGAAAAUUAACAAGUUGGCUAUUUUUAAAACUCAAAAUGAUCUGUUUAAUUUUUGAAAAUUUGUAAGCCCAGUUUAAAGAAAAAUGCCAAAUGUCAAAUAUGUCAAAAUGUCAUAUAUGUCAAGUAGCCUCAAAUGAAAAGAGCACUUAUACAUUUUUAAAAAUGAAUACUUCAGUAGAGACAUGGGUUAAUAGCAUAAACA
ensembl:lncRNA